rnacentral:rRNA from 1 species
GACGAACGCUGGCGGCGUGCCUAAUACAUGCAAGUUGAGCGCUGAAGGUUGGUACUUGUACCAACUGGAUGAGCAGCGAACGGGUGAGUAACGCGUGGGGAAUCUGCCUUUGAGCAGGGGACAACAUUUGGAAACGAAUGCUAAUACCGCAUAAAAACUUUAAACACAAGUUUUAAGUUUGAAAGAUGCAAUUGCAUCACUCAAAGAUGAUCCCGCGUUGUAUUAGCUAGUUGGUGAGGUAAAGGCUCACCAAGGCGAUGAUACAUAGCCGACCUGAGAGGGUGAUCGGCCACAUUGGGACUGAGACACGGCCCAAACUCCUACGGGAGGCAGCAGUAGGGAAUCUUCGGCAAUGGACGAAAGUCUGACCGAGCAACGCCGCGGGAGUGAAGAAGGGUUUCGGAUCGUAAAACUCUGUUGGUAGAGAAGAACGUUGGUGAGAGUGGAAAGCUCACCAAGUGACGGUAACUACCCAGAAAGGGACGGCUAACUACGUG